UACAGAGGGUGCAAGCGUUAAUCGGAAUUACUGGGCGUAAAGCGUGCGUAGACGGUUACAUAAGUCGGGUGUGAAAGCCCCGGGCUCAACCUGGGAAUUGCAUUCGAGACUGCGUAGCUAGGGUGCGGAAGAGGGAAGCGGAAUUUCCGGUGUAGCGGUGAAAUGCGUAGAUAUCGGAAGGAACACCAGUGGCGAAGGCGGGUCUCUGGACAGUUCCUGACGCUGAGGCACGAAGGUCAGGGAGCAAACGGG
rnacentral:rRNA from 1 species